rnacentral:lncRNA from 1 species
CAUCUAUCAUCAAAAUAAAUCUGGUUCAUCUAUCCAGCCCUAUACAUACCUAAUUCAAGAUAUAGAUUAUUAUCAGAAUUUAAAGAACAUAGCCACUGUACAACAAUCUGAAUACAACUAACUUGCCUCUAUUCUCAGGCAAUGUCUGGUGCCAGGCAACCAGCAGUCCAAAUGACUUGCAUAACCGAACAGCCUCUUCUCAUGUUCCGCUGGUGUUGUCUUGAUCCAAUUGAAAAAUGUCCAAAGUACGGUAAGCCUCAGAAUGAACUUCUCAACCUCCCUCUUAAGGCCGACUGAACAAACUAUAUUCCAAACUCUUGAGUUUAACAUUUCCGGACAAAUGUUUCAUAUUCUUUUCAUUGAGGCAGGCGGCCUCUGCUUGCAGUUUAGAUGCCACCUCUACUUGCUUAUUUGUGUUACUAUCACAAGAAUGAAGCACCUAUCAGUACAUGACCUGCCAUCACUCAGAUAUCUCCAACAAUCAGUUUCUCAACACCAAUCAACAGCUGCUCCAGCAGGACAGACCAGAGUCUCCAGCCUGGCUCAAUUUAGUCGGUGCCGCCUAAGCUGCCACAGGGACCGGUCCGGCCACCACAUAGGACGCACUUGAAGCCUAAGUGGUGCCAAUGAGGCAAACUACCACCAUGCCAACACUUACAAAUACUCGCAUUUAACAGAAGCAUGAUGUUUCAUAAUUUACGUCUGCAGUUGCUCAGGAUUAGUUUACUUGGGCCUUGGUGCCUAUCCAAGGGAUAUAACCCCCUCCUCCUUUCAGAUUCAUAGCUAGUCUGAGUGUCUGACGCGGAGCCCUACCACUGAAAAACAGCAUACUUUAUGCUGCAUCAGUUACUGUAAUAUUCAAGAUCCAAUGAGACUUCUAAAACAGGAGAUUCAAGAAUAUCUAUCCUGAAUAUCGGCAAAAAAUUCCCAUUGCAAUAACCUCAAAGGCACAUCAUCAGUAUUGCAGAUGCCAUAAAUCUGUUUUCCCAGCUGAAACUGAUUGAACUGUGAUUAAACUACAGCGGGAGCAGAGAAAGCCAACAAGGUCUCUGUUGCUCCAUCUCACAUUGUUCCCCAGAAUGGAAAUUGAAUAACCUCCAAUAGUAGCAUAAUAACGGGCACCAAGAAGGUAUAACCUUUUCAAGGUAAUGCAAUCACAAUUUUUCAUGCUAUUCAAGCAAGAUUAUCCUCUUCAAUGCGUUGCAAAAGCUCCUCGUAAACCUUCAAGGUCUUGGCAGUAAACCUUUCCAUGGCCUCCAAAAUAUGUCUCAGACCAAGCUGAAGACUACUAUUUUUGCUUGUGUCACUCUGGUACACAACAUGCCUAUUUAGUGAGAGACCAUUUUCAUCCCCAGAAACGAGUACUAUUCUUUUGCCCAUUGCAUGAAUCUCCUUUUGUAUCUUCUGGUCCUCUCUCUCCAGGUUCUUCACUUUUCUCUCCAUAUCCUUGUUCACCAUCAUCCUUUGCCGCAUUUCCAGUUUAUCUCGCUCCCAGAGCUGAAAGACAUUAGUUGCAAAAUCUCGCAUACAGUCAAUAACUUCUUUCUCAGAAACUCCAUCAAUGGUUUGUGACCACUGAUUACAAAUGACAAAAAUUGGGGGAGCACCAAUCCUUCCGGGAGAGAAGGGAACUCUUCCAUCGGGUGUUUCUUCAGGCACAUACAGAAGACAUUUCAUGAGCCAAGAGUUUAGAGCUCUCACAUAACCUU